rnacentral:rRNA from 1 species
UACGUAGGGUGCAAGCGUUGUCCGGAAUUAUUGGGCGUAAAGAGCUCGUAGGCGGUUUGUUGCGUCGGCUGUGAAAUCCCGAGGCUCAACCUCGGGUCUGCAGUCGAUACGAGCAAACUAGAGUGUUGCAGGGGAGACUGGAAUUCCUGGUGUAGCGGUGAAAUGCGCAGAUAUCAGGAGGAACACCGGUGGGCGAAGGCGGGU